CCCAUGAGGGGCGCGCCAAAGUUGAUCUGGAUGCAGGCUCCAAAGCUGCCAGCUGCAAUGGCAACAUGCUGCUGGAGGAAGUUGAGCCGAGGGGCCUGAUGGACGCCCUGGUGCUGAACGGCAGGAAAGUGGACGAGCUGCCUGCCGUGACCCACAGCCCACUGGAGGGAUCCCACAAGGAGGCAGCCCUGCGACUCCUGGGCAUGGAGCUGGAGAAGAGCCCCUUGCUACAUUCGGCCUACAUCCCGGUGCCCAGGCAGAGGAAGCUGUCGGGCAAGGC